UCACGAAAGUGGGGNUGUGCUAGAAGCGGCUGGGGCUGACUCGCAAGAGGGGGCAGGUCGCCCACGGCAUGGUCCCAUGAUUGGGGUG
rnacentral:rRNA from 1 species